rnacentral:rRNA from 1 species
UACGUAGGGUGCGAGCGUUAAUCGGAAUUACUGGGCUUAAAGCGUGUGUAGGCGGAUCCGUAAGUACCUUGUGAAAUCCCACGGCUUAACCGUGGAACUGCUUGGUAUACUGCGGGUCUUGAGCCACUUAGGGGCUACCGGAACAAAUGGUGGAGCGGUGAAAUGCGUAGAUAUCAUUUGGAACGCCAAUGGUGAAAACAGGUAGCUGGGAGUGUGCUGACGCUGAGACACGAAAGCCAGGGGAGCGAACGGG